rnacentral:rRNA from 1 species
AAGAGCUUGUAGGUGGUUUGUCGCGUCUGCGGUGAAAUCCCAACGCUUAACGUUGGGCUUGCCGUGGGUACGGGCAGACUAGAGUGUGGUAGGGGAGACUGGAAUUCCUGGUGUAGCGGUGAAAUGCGCAGAUAUCAGGAGGAACACCGAUGGCGAAGGCAGGUCUCUGGGCCAUAACUGACACUGAGAAGCGAAAGCAUGGGGAGCGAACAGGAUUAGAUACCCUGGUAGUCCAUGCCGUAAACGUUGGGCGCUAGGUGUGGGGCUCAUUCCACGAGUUCCGUGCCGCAGCUAACGCAUUAAGCGCCCCGCCUGGGGAGUACGGCCGCAAGGCUAAAACUCAAAGGAAUUGACGGGGGCCCGCACAAGCGGCGGAGCAUGCGGAUUAAUUCGAUGCAACGCGAAGAACCUUACCAAGGCUUGACAUACACCGGAAACACUCAGAGAUGGGUGCCCCGCAAGGUCGGUGUACAGGUGGUGCAUGGUUGUCGUCAGCUCGUGUCGUGAGAUGUUGGGUUAAGUCCCGCAACGAGCGCAACCCUCGUUCUAUGUUGCCAGCGCGUGA